UGACAAAGGCAGCAAUGAUAAGGGAAAAGAGAAACUUCCUGAAGGCAAAAUGCAGGUCACCUGGAAAUUCUGACUUCAGCCUUCUCACAUCUCCAUUUGACCUCCUGUCACAAACUAGCCAAAGCUCUAAAAGGACCCACUUUAUCUCCCUACAGAGGGGAAACCUGCCUCCCUGCAACAUUUAUCUAAAGUGGUUAUGCUGUAAAAAUGUGAUGACUGCCUCUGCAGCACUCACCUGCUUCUAUAAUGGGAUAAAUACAGAUAAAGCUUGCAGAGUGAUCAAGCAGCCCUACAGAUUGCUGGGGGUAGUUGUUCACCUUGUUCCUUGUCCUCUCAGAAAGUGACGCUUCACUAGGCAAAACAGCUGUUUCCAAGGAAAUGAAGAUAGCUGAGAAGCUGGGAAGAGCAAUUCAAUUUAGAAAGGCCUUCACGCCAUUAUCAUUGAGGUGACUUUGUUUUUAUUUCUCUUUCCAUGCCAAGGGAAAGAGGUGAUGCAUCCUCUGUGGGUUGAUGCACAUUGCUGGAUGUUGUAGCUUACAGAGAAACUGGUCCAUUGUGAUCCCCAGGGGUUGCAGUCCCACCUCAGUCCCCACAGCUCCUGAGGAGCCACAGGGCUCCCAUGCCCAUGCUCUCCUCCGAGAUGUUUAAUAAGGCGAAACCUUCAUGGGCUCAUGAGCACAAACCCAAUCCUGUUCUGAUGAUGGGGCUGGGACCUCAAAUGAUGGGGCAGGGCAGGAUCCUUUUCAAGGACUGAUGACUAAUGUGCAUUUCUUCACCAGAAGCCCAGCGUGGAAACUACCAGUGCCAAAAGUUUGAGCAUUGCACUAGCAAGGGCCCUCUGGGGUCAGUAAAUCCUGUCCCCUGAUGCCAGAUGCAAGCACGUCAUAAAGUGUCUUUAUGAAUGAAUCAGUCUUUGUAUUAAAACUAUGUAUUUGCAAUGCUCAGUCAGAAGUGGGUCCAGCCCAGGACAGUUACAAACACGUUUCUCAUUUCCUGACUAAAUUAAUUCUGGCCAAUUAUAAUAAUUUUUGCUCUUUCUUCUGGCUUCUCAGUGUUUUCUAGCAGUCCCCCCAUUGGCUGAGAUCUAGUGUACACUUGCAAAAAAUAUAAGCACUUGGUGUAGACAACUGAGCAGAAGUUAGAUUUCCAGUGGACUUUUUUACUUUUUUUACUUCAUUGAGGUUAAAAAAAAAACAACAAAAAAAAACCACUACCAUACUUAAUAAGUUGGUAUCCUCACUGUCUUCCAUUUCUAGAUUGCCUUAAGGUGUAGCCCCAGGAAAAAUACAUUACCAGCUCAAGACCUGAGCUGAUGAAUGCUACUCUUAUGGCAGUAAGUUCAGGAUCUGAAGCACACACUUAGAGUUAUCGCUAGCUGGAGACAACAGGAGUUAAGUGGAAAUGUUCCAGGACAUUGCUGCUGAAAAACCCUUUCUAGCAGCUGAGGAUCCACAAACCCCCACAGCAGGCAUUGUGACAUCGAGACACCCUCAACUGGAAAAGAAAAUACGAUAUUAGUCAGGGCUUCAACAGCCCUCCAGAAUGUCAUCACUUUUAUUGGGACUAAAUCUUAGCCAGCCUUCUUCAAAGGACUCAGGGAUAAAGGAUUGUAUGAAAGAAAACAUUUGCACAGGUCCACAUAGGCAGCCUUGCUCAGCACGGCAGUUUCCCCACCCUGAGUGGAUGGGUAUCUGGACCACGCAGACCACUCAUGCAUUGAGAAUGACAAGAAACAGAAACUGUUUGAUGUCUUGGGAUAAAA